rnacentral:misc_RNA from 1 species
AACCUUAUGGACCUGCGGGCGUAUACCUGCGGAGGGAUCAUUGCUGGAACGCGCUUCGGCGCACCCAGAAACCCUUUGUGAACUUAUACCUUUACUGUUGCCUCGGCGCAGGCCGGCCUCUCUCGAGGUCCCUCUGGCACUGUGCCAGAGGAGCAGCCCGCCGGCGGCCAACUAAACUCUUGUUUCUUAGUGAAUCUCUGAGUAAAAAAACAUAAUGAAUCAAAACUUUCAGCAACGGAU